rnacentral:rRNA from 1 species
CCCUAUGGGGUGCAGGGGCGAGGGGAUUAAGGCGGGCUGAGGCGCGCAGGGUCAGACGGUAAGUUCAGCGAGGGCCUCCCAGAAGUCAGAUUCAUGGCAACAGUUCCCGUGCGGCGCCAAGGCGAGCAGGGCAAAGAAGCUACCGGCGGUAAGAGAUCGCACAAACAUAACAUCAGAGGAUGCAGGAACUGAGGGAAGGUGGCAAGUGUUUUCGGGGGAGGCAGCGGUGCAAGGGAGAUAGUCCGUGGCAAAUUGGACGGGCCAAUGGCAUGAGGGACGAGCGGAGGCGCCGGCGGAUCAGAGUUUAUCGGCGGGCGAGGUUUGUGGUCGGGAGAAGCUUGCAAGUUGAAGAGAAAAGGUUAAUAUCCCUGAGAGGAGUUACCAUAUCUUUCUCGGUAGGCGGUAAGGUGUCAAGACGGGUAACCUUGAGUCCGGCCAUGAGUGCGUAGUAUGGAACAGAUUAUCGAGGUGGAUACCGGUCAAGUGCGGGCGGGAGGGC